rnacentral:lncRNA from 1 species
UGCUUGCACAAGCAGCUGCUUUCAUGAGUGAUCUUCAUGCUUGGAGUGAGUGCAUGGGUCCUGUAGGAGAAAGAAGGUGGAGGGGGAGCUAGGUGGGGAAAAGGAGGAGAAGAAAUUUGGUGGUGGGAGGAUGCUGCAUGUCUUUAGACAAAGAGCUGAGUUGGAAUUCUGGGGUUACCCAUGGCAUACUGCUCUGGCAUGUCUGCCUGAAUUUAGAGUAGCCAUCGCUAAACAGAGCUUAAAAAUAAACUUUUUAGAGCUCGGUGCUUAAUGUGUAAUACUGCCUUUAGCAGUCAGCAGGGCAAUUCUGGGAAGGCUUAUCAGGUCUUCUGCUGUUUCAGAAAGAAGGUAGCUCAUGACUGCUUGGGGUAGAUUUAAUUCUUUUUCUGCUCAAAUCAGAAAGUUGUAUGGCAAAUGUAUCGCAGAAUUGCAGAAUGCUUUAGGUUGAAAGGGACUUUUGGAGGUCAUCUGGUCCAACCCUCUGUUCAAGUUGACUAUAACCAAGUAGCUUCUACUGAGCCAGAUGAAAAAGCAUUCAUCUCAGGAAUGUUUUCACUUUUUAUUCUAUUACUUUUAUUUUAGCUCCUGUCACUUAGAACAAGGGAAAAUCUAUAUGGUACCAGAAUAUUUUGUCUGGGACCCUGCAAUAAGAAACUUAGUAAAAGUCUAUGCUUCUCUUGCUGAAAAUUUUUAGGAAAGCAUGUUAUUUUUGCCCUUCAAGUCUUUCUGAAUUCAAAGACAUUUAUUUGUAAGAGCAAGUAGCCAGAAGUUGCAUAUCAAAAAGUAUGUUCAGAUGGACCUUGAUUUACAGGAGUAAUGGGUUGAUGGGAACAUGAUAAAGUUUAGCAAAUGCAGAACCCAGCAUCUGGGAAGAAAAAGCCCGUGUAGCACUUUGGGUGGGGACAGACUCGUUUCUUUCUAAGCAACUUUGCAGAAAAUUUGCAGGGAAGGACGUGGGAAGGGGCAAAUGGUGACGCAUCCAAUAAUUUGAACAGAAUUCACCUGUAUACCCCUGAGGCAGAACAACACUGGGGGGGUGUUCAGCACUUGUGUAGCCUGUGAGCUGUAGAUCAAAGAAAAGCAAGUAUUUCCUUAAGUUCAGUAGUUGGGGGCCUGCCUUGGGACUGCUGUGCUCAGCUCUGGGCUCAGUGAGAUAAGGAAGGUAUGGACAUCCUGGAGCGAGUCCAGUGGAAGGCCAGCAAGAUAACAGGUGUGGAGCACAUGAUGUAUGAAGGGAUACUGAGCAAGCUGAGCUUCCUCUUCCUUAGAAAGAAACAGGUAAAUGGAGUCCAUAGUGCAAGCCUGCAACUGCCAAGUGAGAGAGUAGACAGCGGGAAGGGGAUGGGAGGAUCCCCAUUGCUAGAGGUGUUCAGGCAGGGUCCUGAGCAACCUGCCUUACAGCGGCCCUUCUCUGAGAAGGACCUGCAGCCAGAUCAUCUCCAAAAGUUCCUUCUGACCUGAACUAUGAUUCUAUGAGAAUGGAUGAAGUACUUUGCAUUUCUUGAGAAAUUCAUUAUUUGAGCAGUUGUGUUGCUCUGAAACAUCUAAUAACUUUGGGGUGGUGGAAUAACAGCGAUAGCGUCCCACAGGUAUAGUUUGGUGAAGUUCAGAGGGUCUUUAUACUGCAAGUGUAAUGGUCUUAGGUUAUUUUAUAAAAAGCAGCUAGGUGGGAGGAGGGAGAGGAACGUAAAAAAUCUUAGUAAUGAAAUGUUCAUAGUUUUGUCCAUGUCUAAUACUCAAGUUUGCAAUAAAAUAUGCUCUCUUAGAAGAAUCUCAGGCCAUAAAUUUAGUAAAAACCUGGCCCCUCAUGUGCCCUGUGGAUAAGGGGAUAGCACUGGUAGCACAGUCUUAGAAUGAAAUUACAGCUGGCCUUGAAGAAUGGUAAUGAAAAUUCAAGGAAGAAAAAAACACCACAACUACCCUGAGGAUACUUUCCAGUUUUAUUCUGCUGCCAUAACAUAGUCACACAGAAGAAUUGAAGUGUAACAGAUCAUGCUCUGCAUUCAGAUAUGUUUGAUAACGUUUAAACAAAUCUGCUCAAAUAGAACAUUCCCUAGUUCUUUAUUUGCAGGGAAUAAAUUAAACACAAAAAUAGAAACACAAUACAUGCUUGAAUAAAAUCGGACAUGAGUAUUUAAAAAAGAAAACUGGGGGAACAUAAAGAAUGAAGCCUCAGAACCAGCCUGAUAUUCUUAUAUUUUAAGUGAACAUAAGCUAAAGUGGAACAUACUUAUUUUUAUUUACUCCUCAAACUUAAGUGCAGCGCAACGCCAUUUAAGUGCCUCGGCACAAAAAUAAUAUACAAAUAAUUAAUAGACAGUCAUUUGUAAAUUUAUCAUUUCUUACGUUAAUGCUAUAAGAAGUGUGCAGCAGCUAAAGCCAAAUGUGAUAGCAUUCGUUCAUGUCCUCCUCUAUUCUCUAGAGUAUCAUUUAUCUACCUGCCAAGUCAUAGAUAGAUUUAAAACCCCAAGGACAAAUUAACAGGAUGGAAGCACGUGCCUGAAACAAGCACGUUCAUGCAAACUUCCCAACUGUAGAAAUGACGCUGUGUUCAUCUUUCUAGGCAGUUUUUACCUGAAUACGUGAUUUGUUACGAAGCUGACUGAAGUUUUGACCGAGGUCAGCGGGAGCAGCCAUUGAGUUGAAUUAACAUUUUGAGCUCGUAGCAUUAAGCUUGUUUACAAUCAUAGAAUCAGUAAGGUUGGAAAAGAUGACCGAGAUCCCAUCACCCAUGCCCACUUAACCACAUCCCUCUGUGCCACAUCUACCCUUUUCUUGACCACUUCCAGGGUGGGUGAUUCCACCACCUCAUACGUGAUAAGCUAGGAAAGAAACUUGGAACUCAAAUACAUACAGCUCUCCAUCUUUCCUAGUUGAGCUAUAAGUGAGCCUGUACUACGUGGAGUUAACAAAGUGCAAAUAAUUACUAAAAGCGAGAUCUGAUGUUGGAUUAUCUUUUAUCGAAGGAUUUUUGUCUUGCUUCUUAUAGCCUUUAAAUUACAAUUUAAUAUUUGGAAAUACUUUUAAAACUGUACAUGUUAGCCUUUAUGUAGAGAAAACUUAUGAACAGUUACACUUUUCCUAUUAAUCCGCAUAAUUCAGCUUUAAGAAGCAGAACAGAAUAUAUAUCUGAAGAACAUCUAGUUAUAUAAACAUCUUUACCUUGUAAAUUAGAGAUUAAAUAAAGAUAUUUAACAAUAUCAUCGCUACUCUAAAAACAAAUUAUUAGGUAUUUUAAAAGAUUGCAUUUAUUCAGUAGGAUUUUUCUUAACGUUGCUUUUGUUUUUUCUAGUGAUACAGCUUUAUGGAAAUAAGCCCUGUUAAAAGCUAAGAAAGCUUGCUGUGUCACUCUUACAUGAAGAGAUCAAAAUAUAACAAGGAGGGGGAAGAAGAAUAAGUGCUUACUAUCCUUCCAGAAAACACGAGGCAGUAAAGUUACACGGAAGGUAUGGCAGAACAGAACUAAAAGUUGGUUUUAAGUUUUGUUUCCCGUGAAUACCAUUUUAGUGGAACAGUAUUACAACAGAUAUCCUCAUUGUGCCUGUCUGGUCUCUACUGAAAAAUACUUGGUCUUCCCCAUCUCGUGGAAAAACUAUUAGAUAGAUGCUUAGCCCUUACUGAAUAACUCCCACAAAGUGUUUUUAAUAAUACUUUAAUAACAAAAGAAAAAAAAAAAACUUCAAGUCAAAGUGCAUGCUACCUUGUUUCAGCCCUUCAUAAAGUGUUAAUAUUUUUCCUCAUUCAUCUUCGCUUAUUUUUUAAAUAUGAAAGCUGAAUGAGCUGUUAGCAACUUACAGUUCUUUUCUUCCCCCGCACUGUGCACUCGUAGCAGUAGUUCCUCUGCUCAGCUCAAAUGAAUUUGGAGUUUUUUCCAAAAUAAUCUUAGAAAUAGAGUAUUCUCAAGCUAUCCUUUUUCUACGUGAUCAGAAGCAAAUCUAAACUUACCCUACCGUAACAAGGAUUUCUCUGAAUUAAGUAACAGGGAGAACAUUUCAAAGUUGUUUUUAAAGUAACAUAAAAGUUAAUCUUUACUUUCAAGUUUUUUUUAGCUACAAUAACCUAUGAUUGCACCGUAAACUGUUCCAGCAGUCUGAUUUAAAGGAACAAACUUGAUAUUCCAAAGCCUGGGUGGUGGAGGCUAAGAAUAUGAGAAAUACUGUAGAAGAGGUCGUUGAUUGCAAGUAGAAAGAAUGAUAGCUGAGUGCCUUCCUACAGUAAUUCUAGAGUUUGUCUGGGUUUUUCAGGCUUUUGGGAGCAAGUUUGAACUCCUCUGAGCAUAAUCAACCUGAGAAGCACAGUUAGUGGAAAACUCCCAUUCUCCCUUUACUAACUGCCAGCAUUUUUAAUGCUGUAUGUUAACUUCAUCUUGCUUUAAUAUGACCUUCUGAAAUGAAGAUCUACAAUAUCAUGACUUAAGCCACACAGAAAAGGACUCGCAACAAAAGUUCCCUUAGUUAAGCUGUGGCCGGAGACUCCAAUGUCACUCUUGCUGGUAAUAUUUUAGAUGAAAAGAAAAAAAACCAAAAAACCAACAAUACGUAUCGUUAGGGCUCAAAAGGGGAAACAAAAAAAAGUAGGAAAAGGAAGAUGAAGAUUUUAUCUUCAGGUACCAUAUACUAUUGAAGUACCACUUGGAAGAAAGGCAGCAGAUAGGAAACUUGAGGAUAGUUUUACCCACAGAAAACAAUUUAAAACAUAUCUAUAAGCACAGAAAUGUUGUCAUUAAAAUGCUGCUAUUUUGCUGGCUUCUCGAACCCCGCUCAAGUAAGCUCCUGUAACGGUCUGAGGAAAGUGCCUAUUUGUGGCCUGUAUUAAAAAAAAAAAUAAAGUAAUUAAUUGUUUCCAGAGCUAUUAAAACAGAUAUGAAAUGAGAAGUUCAGAUCAGUUAUGUUUUACAUAGGCGUGUGCCAACGUUUCAAAAGGCUAUGGAAAACUUAGUUGAAAGAAUUUAAGAGGAAAGAGUGGUGAUUUCUGCCAACAUCAAAAUCUGCAAAGCAAGUCAACGAGCAACAUCAGUUGUCUGUUUUGCUGCGAGCACUUCAGAGAGACAUUUAAGUACUGUUUCAAUGUAGAAUGCAACCGUACCAUCAGCAGCAUACAUCUGUUAUGUUACCCAGUAACAGAAAGAUAAUUUGACUAAAAAUACAAGUGGAGAGUGUGUUCUUUUCAUAUGCUGCUCUUACUGCUUAUGCAGUUCACUCCUAGCCUGAGAUAUACGGUGACCUACCUAUGCCCAACGAUAGUAAUAAAGAGAGGUCUGUGUCAAAAUGAAGAAACGUUAGUAUAUUUGUAUAUUUGUAAGUAUAUACAAGUAUACUUACAUGCUACCUCUAUAUUGAUAACUGUUGGCUAGCAAAAGACAAUCUUUCAUAAAUGGUUCCCCGAUAACCUUAAAUCAACAGUACCAAAGAUACUUACCUCACCAGCAAAAAAAAUUGUUCCUUGUAUGUCUUCAGCUAUAAUGUCAUAAGCUUCCCCGCUGCCUCCUGUUUUUACAAAGCUGUAUGCCAUCUGGAGCCAGGGGUCUUUGCUCCAUCGAGUAACAAAAAACUUCACUGGAUCGGGAACCUCCUGCAUAAUUAGAGUGAAACUUAUAUGCUGCAGAGAAGAGCUCACGUUUAUAUAGCUUUCCAGAAUCCUUAGGGAGCAUGCAGUAUUAUUAUACUACAGAUUGGAGCUGCAGAUUGGAUUAAAUUCCUGAAUUAAAUCCCAGUUUUAUUUAUUACGGCACUAAGCACGGAAGAUAAUUUGUUUGUCAGUGUUGCCUUCUGUUUGAAACGUUCCAGUUCCUCUGUUUUGAAUGCAACAAAUACGGAUAUUGUAUUAAACCUGGAACUACAAAGGUAAAAAGAGAAAAUUCCCCUGUCCCAAUAACACAAUCUUGCAAACAGAUAAAAUGCCAGCAUCAACGUAAUUCAGCGUGUUUGUGCGUAUGAUGUAAGCUCCUUGCAUCUUGGUGAGACCUAAUAGUUUGUGAAUUCCAGUUUAAAUCUCAAAAUAUAAUUUCCAUUUCGCAGAUGAUUUUAUCCCAGUGAAGAAAUAAAUGUACUUGUCCAAAAUCAGAAAAUGAGCCAGUUUCAAGGCCAGAUUUAGGGAGAAACAAAAAGAAAGCCUAUAGUUAAGCUGUGAUUGUAAUACUGUGUAUUUUUGUCGUAUUAGAGUAUGUAAGUUCCACUCCAUUCUACUGGAAAGAGCCUGAAUAACUCUAUGAAGGCUCACUUCACUACAGCUGUGUCUUACUCUUAAGGGGUUUGUGACAAGUAGAUAGAAGUAUCACUGAUUGCCUCCUGCACAGCUUCCGGUAUCUACAAAUAAGCAGUUCUGUUCAGAUCACCCCCAGAAAACUAAAGUUCAAGCAAGCAAAACAAUUGCUAGCCAAAAAGAUACAUAUGGCAGGUUGCACAGACAUCCCAGAAGGAGCUUUUGGUAUGGCCCUCAAAGCUACCUUGUCUUUGAAAAUCCUGCAGUGCUGUCAAGAGAUGGCUAAAAUUCACAACUGUGUUAAACCAUGGGGACAAUGACAUGAGAAUCAUCUUUCUAGACUAGACCAGCACCAAACUGAACACCUCUUUGCUUCCUGUAUGUUCUGAUGAGGUGAAAAUAGCAGGUGUGUGGACUUGCAUUGCCUGCAAUUCUGGUAAUUGUAAAGCUGUUACCAAAAGUAUGUUUCCUAAGAAAAGAAUGGCUUUCAGAUGCCAAAAUUCUUCCAAGACCAUUAGUCCCAACAUCCUAACCAUAAACAUUAACACCGAGCAUUCCUUGACACCUAACUGUUACAAAUAAUUUAGGUGUAAAAUAUUGCUGAGUUUGUUAAGCAGAGUGAAAAUAACGUUGUUCAAUGAUAGCCCCAGAUUUGCCUGAUUCUCCCAUUAGCGUUUGUCCUGAUGAGCCGGUGUCUGGAUGGGGAAGCAAAGGAAUUACCACCUCAUAUGUUUCUUUACAGUCAGGAUUUAGGACCUUUGAGUGAUCAUGUUGCUUGUAUCUCUGCCACAAUGCAUCUGUGAAAGGGCUGUUUCUUACUAGAAGAAUAAGCUCCCCUCUAUACAGCAUCCAAAUUCUGUUUUUACCAUAUCUCAAAAGAAGUAUUUCCCCAAACACAGGAAAAGAAAAAUAGUCCAAAAUAUCAAACGUUUUCCUGUAUACCAUGAAGUAAUACAAUCAGAAGCUUUAUGUCUGUUGGCACGUUAAUUCACAUCUUUUAAGAGAAAAGGUUUUUCUCACCUGCUCCUUAAACAGCUCUCUAAGUACAGUCAUACACUGUUGUAGUACUUGUUUGUCGUCUAAAUUCUUAAUGGUUGUCACAGCAUCUCCAGUAACCACUGACAUUAAAAUGCUUUGUUUGCCCUAGAAAACCAAAUAAUAACAUAAAAUAUCACUUCACAAUUUUUAUUUUAAUUACCAAUUGCUAAUUUAAAUUUUAAUGACUAUUGACAAAGAUAUUUUUCAGCUACAGAAGACCUUUUGUUCUAGAUGAAAUCAGCUCUGAUUCUUUAGAAUAAAGGCUUCUUAUUUUUCAGUGUUUAUGUUCCAGUUACUAACAUAACAUCCUGUUAACAUAAACCUGUAUCAGGACAGUCAGCCCCUCUGACAACUCACUCAGAAUUAACUGAAAACUCCCUGUAUGUGUAUUGAAAGGCUACACCCAAAAAUUUGACCUUUGAGACAGACCUCUCAAACUCCCAUGCCAAAACUUCACAUCAACUCUACUCCAGUUUCAAAAGAUGGUAACAGAGAUGAGCUAUUUAAACACUAGCUAGAUAUGUUCUGGAUUUGAGCCAGUGCUGAGUUCUUAGCAGCUGAUUUUGGCCCAAGAAAUGAAAGCUCAGUUCUCGUGGUGCUUCCUUUCACUUCAGGAAAUCUGCUAUGAUUCAAUAGUUUCAAAGAUUAAGCAGUAACCAUGGAAUACUACACAGAUUCUCAAACCUUUUCACAAAUUCUCCCUCUUUUAUCUAUACAAUAAAUUCUUCCGUUACUAAACUUGAUAGCUACCAGAGAAUAGCUAUCAAUAAUUAUAAUUGUGAAUAAUUGUAUGAGUGUUUCUGGAAAGCAUCAGCAUGCUGAAUCUCAUAUAGAAUAAGCUCAUAAGUAAUAAGGAGAUGACAAGAAGGCUAUAUGGAAAGUCAUAUGCAGCUAUUGAUAUUUUAAUAACACAGCACAAUAUUGACAGGAUAGUUUCUUUUCACAGUAAGCCAUGAAGUUCCAAAACAACUUCUAAUUGUUGUCAAGUAGCAAUCAGCACUUGUUAAAGCAUGAAGACGGUUAAAUGUGUGGUGUGUCUGCUUGGAACUGUCAGGGAAGGAAAACAGAAUGCCAGUAUAUUGAUUUGAACUGGUUUUGAGACUGACCCUGCAGACUUCACAUUCAUGCAAAACCUAGUGCUUAUCUUCUGCAACUUCACAAAGUCAUUCAGACCAGUGCAAGCCAGUAAGUAUUAAUAAGCCAACACUGUCCUUUUUAGUUGGUUUAAGUAAGGAAUCAGAAGUCCUAAGCUUGAAGUAACAGGCAGACUGUUCAUCUGUAGUUAGGUCUUACACACUUGUUUUCAGAAUAGCUUUGACACUAAAAGUAUCAACAUACUUCUGUAUUAUUUUGUACCCAUGCCUGGGAAAAUAUUGCCAUUUACUACAAAGAAAUAUAAAUCAGCUUUUUCUUGACAAAUAAAAGUGAUUCCACUUCACUUAAAAGGAAAAAAAAAAACACCACCAAAAAAAAAAAAAGGAAGCUUUCAUUUUUCAGUAAUUUUUGCAUUUAGAUUCCAAACCACAUUUCUGAAGGGCCAGCAGAAAAUACGAAUAGAGUAUGUUACCUCUGGAUCCAUGUCAUAGAAAACACUGAAGAGUCCGCGUUGGCUGGAAUUGGGUGGAACAUGACCAAAAAAAUCAGCACCUUGAAUUUUACUGUCCCAAAAUCUAUAAGGAAACUGCAAUGCAAUCUGGAAAGAGAGAGAUGGAAUCAAAGAAUUUCAUAGCACAUCACACAACUCGUAACUGUUCAUCCAAUUCUUUUCCCCUUUUUUACUCAGUGUUCAACACAGUUCUCUGAGGGAGUUUCAAAAAAAUAAUAUAUAAACUGAAGUCUCAGAAAUUGAAAAUGCACAGAAUUCACCAUGAAAUUCACUAUGAAAAUGCUCCAAUUUGGCAGUUUUUACAAACCUAAUGCAGAACUCAGAAAUUCCCUAUAACAGAUGAGGAUCAUUGAAUCUUGCCUUUAAAUUUCCACACUGUGAUAGUAUUGUUUUUGGCAUUAUUACUGUUUUAUUCUAAGCACAGACCUUAGGAGGGAUCUUUUGAGGAUCAGCUCUCUUUUUUCACAAGGAAAAGUUAAGGAAUCUUACCAGCUGGUCAAAUACACAGCUUUUGGUAUUCUUCCAAAAUAGUUCAUGUAUUUCCUAGGUCAAAAUAGACCAGGAUUAAGCAUAUUAUGAGAACUUUGAAAUAUUUAAGAUCAGUGAGAAGGCUCGCUCAAAAUUAGGCCCAAAAAGGUUUAAGCUGUGAAGUGAUUCUAUACCAACUUCUUUAAAAAACACAUUUGAGAUGGGAAUUCUAAGAAAUACACAUGAUCUCUGCUGGCUUUGUAAUAAUUUUCAUUGUGGUGGUUGGAAAAGAAAUGAAUACAAUUAUUUCCACUGAAUUUCACUAAUGGUAUGGAAGUAGGAAAAAGUAAGCAGCUCAGCACAAUAUUUUUUCUGUGCUUCCUUCCCCAACCCCUUCUCCAAAAUGACAAAUAGCAGAUACCUCACGGAAGAUUUUUGGCUGGAGGAUACGAGUAAAACCAAAUGUGUAAGCAAACCCUGAGAAACACUCCAUAAGAGCAAUAGGACCAAAGCAGCAAAUUCUUCUAUGAAAAGGAACUGAAAUAUAAUCUGAGUUUGCUUACCUUCUCAAUGACUCCUGCUCCCAAACUAUUAAUAGCUUUAAUUUUUUUUUCUGACAGCGGAGGAUUGAACUGGAUGGCAUUUUUCUGAAGAAGGGCCAGUGGUACUGUCACUAAUACCUGAGAGAAAUAAUUACAGUCACAAUUGAAGCAAUAGCUGAACGCUGUACUUAAGAUUAAUAGAAUCCUCUGAACUAUCUUGGAUUAUUCAUGUGUAAUGCUCAACAGAUAUCUUAACAUUAGUGUCUGAUUUUACUGCACAUUAAUGGGAAACACAUGCAUUACAUUCAGGUGAGAACAGGUCUCUCAGUUUUCUAGCUUUUAAGUCACAAACUGUUGAAUUGCUUGUGUGAGUGGCAAGCCAUGCUGGUAAUUUUAAUACCUCUCAUAAACGAUAGUCAAUCAGACCAUCAGCUUAACAAAAAUUCCUUUUGAAAGGGGAAAAAGUCUUUUUUUUCCUUCACAGAUUCCCUCCCUUUAAAAAUGGUUCAGUGACACUGGUGAUGUCAAUUCUAUUUUGAUCAAGUACAGGUAGAAUUUUUGAAAUGAUACCUAAAACAUAAUUUUUCCAGUACAAAGCAAAUGAAGAUGUAGGAAGUAAGGGUGGCUGAGAGAUAGUAGGUUGUUGAGUGCUGCAUCCCAAAGGAAGACAUUUUAAAGGGCAGAUCUGUGUGUAAAAAAGGGGUAAAGCUGAGUAGGGAGUGGAACCAAGGAAACCAUCACUUCGGAGACCAGAUAAAAAUCGAUCUGCUUCAUAUUUUUAGUUCUACCUUCAUAGUCUUUAGUUCUUUAGAUCAAGUAGUACUCAAAACUCAAGCACGUUCAAUGAAAAAUAGAUUGUAGAACACCCAAAUACAGAUCAUUGGAAUGUAUGAGUUUUCUUUGAAGUGUGAGAAAUUGGACUGAAUAAUCUUCUGUGGAAAGGGAAAAACAAACAAAAAAGAGGUACAUGUACUGUGGAAAAUACUGUUGUUGUGUUCUCCAAAAUCCAUAGACUUAAAGCAUACUGGGUACCUUUUGUGUCCUCCACACAGUGCCAUCCGCAGUAGUGACCUGUACUUCUUCACCAGAAUAGUCAAUACUCUGUACCUAUUGACAUACAAAUUCGUAUAGUAGUUUAGACUGCACACGUAGGAUGCAGAAAUACAGCUGUGUUUUCAGUAUGACAGAUUUAAUAUAAAUAGAAUUAGUCAAUGCUAAUGACAACAUCAACAAUUAAAUUUCUGAUCAGUCAGAAGGUUAACAAAAGAAAUUCUGAACUUGUCCUCUCUUUUCUUAGAGAUAAGUUGGAACAAUUGCAGCUCCACAUUUGCCUGGUGAAAAAAAACCCUCAAAGAUACGAUUGGGUACGUCAAAGUAAAGCAAGACAGGCAUUGCAUCGAUGUUUUCCAGACUUACUGGGAAAUUCAACCGGAUGUCCAGCCCUUCAGCCAGCUUAUCAAUGACAGUAGAAUAUCCCACAGUUAGAAGAGUGUGAUCUCCAGCAAACUGAGCAAAAAACUCAUUAUGGUCCCAUGAGCGUGCAGAUACCUGUGGACAGAACAUAACGUAGCUGUCUCUACUGGUACGUGACAUGGGUUCUAACAAAAGUCCCGCAAGUUAGAAGCCACCCCAAUUCCCUCCACAACUCUGGAAAAAGAAAAAAGUACAUGAGAAUAUAUGGCAUUGCUGACCAAAGAAAAAAACCAGCUUAUUUUCCCAAGGCCCCUAACUGGCUUAUAAUGGCUGGAUUAAGUCACAGUAUGGCUUUGUGUCCAGCAAGUAAUUUUUAGCUCUGCUUGGGGUAGGAAAAAAAUGGGAAGUAGUACAAAAAAUAAGGUGGAUGGCAGUGUACUUCAGUUUCCUCUCUAGCAAAGAAGUCAGAUUUUAUAGCCCUAAGGCUUGAAAUAAAAAUGAAGUAUUUCCCAAUAUGAAGGGGGAAAGCUGAUAUUAAAAAAAAACUCAAUAGAAUUUUUCUCUGUCUUCACAGGUUCUCCCAUGAUUGCUUUCACUGACAUUUUCUCCCCCCACAGACCCAUAGUACAAUAGUAAUAUUUGCACUUGGCAGUCACCACCUGGCAGUGAAGCAAUUCUCAAACUGUUAUUGAAAUGACAAUUCCUAUCACUGCAGUUGCAUUCACACCAUAUCAUACAGUCAACAGAAUACUUAGGAGUGGUGAAUGGUGUUGCAACACUGCAGAAGUUAAAUGCCUUUAUUCUCAAGAUACCUACCAAGGUAGAGAAAUACCUCAGUUGUUUUUUUUAAACACAGCUGAGAAGCAGAAGUCACACACAACAUCUGAGAAAGAGUAACUCUCUUCUGUGAAUUCUGCCACCCAGAAUCUCAGCAAAAUGCACUAUUCCACCGCACCAUCUACUUUCAGCUUCUGAAAAUGAAGAGGAUUUCACUGCAAGUGUGUCUUGAACUCCCAUUAGAUUACCUAAAGAGGUGCUGGAAUUUAUGUCACGAUGCUUUUGAAGAACAGGUUAGGGAUAUAGGAGUAACUUAGGGAUGGCUGAUUGAGGCCACCUGGGGGAUCAGAAGGCUUCUCAAUGUCCCUUGCAACACUUAUUUUCCACAGAGCUCAACCAUGUCAAAACACAGCUGUGAAAACUCACCUGAGAGAGAUUGCUGCCACAGGCAUACUCCAAAUUACUGAGGUGGAACUGUAGUACUUUUUCUUCCAGUUCACUGAACUGGAUACCAGACUCCCGAAUAAAGGCUUUAUAGAUCUCUUGUAUUUUCUCUGUGAAAGAACAUGUUUCAAAUAAGGAUAUAUCACAAUUCAUUGGAAGUCCUACUGCGUUUCAGUAUUCUCUUCUCUGGAUCACAAGAUUUUCAAGCUCGUUUGUACUAAGAUGUUUUUCUUCUCGUAGAAAAACCACAAGAUCUUUCUGAUGAUAAAAUAUAACUUUGCUGCUUAAACACAGGUUUCCCUAGUAAAAUAUUUUUUCUUCAAAAAGAAAAUGUACGUAACUUCUGGAGAUAAGAAAAAUUAUAAUAAAAUAGGAAGUGCAACGGCAUAGCUGGGAUAGUCAGUUGAGACAGAAGAGACAUUAACUGCUUCACUAUCAUUAAUAUAUAGUUGAAGAUAUUUCAGGGGAAAAAAAAACCCAACACUUUAGGAUAACAGAAUCCUUGCAAAUAAAUCCUGUUUAAUUUUGUUUUGUUUUUUUAAACAAAACAAGACGAGAUAAGGAAUUUGAUCCAGAGUUCACUGAACAGCACAAAGCUGCUACUUUUUUCUUAUUCAUCCCACACUGAAAAGAUUUGGGACACACCUAUUUCUGAGCAAGUUUAUUUGUCAUUGGAUGUGCUUGCAUGCUGUAAGUGGGAGGCAUUACCAACAGGGAUGGGACCGUUCUUGCCACUGAAAGACUUUGAUCAGGCUGUUUUUUAAACAGAUUAGUCAUAAAGAAUAGGAGUUAGAGCUAGCUGCCGCCUGCUUCAGCAAGGAGUAAGUCUUUUGAACUGCAGCUGCCACUAGCUAUACUGCAAAAAGCUACACCAUUAAAACAAGAUACUACACUAAAAGUAAUACAGUAUUUAUAAAAGCCUUCAAAUUCAUUCUCCUUAGAAGUUACAAAGGACUUUUUGGUCUAUGAGUAUACAAGUAGUCAACUGUCCUCAAUAGAGCUAGGUUAUUACUGUCGUAUUAAAGGUUAGAUGUGCAGCCAUAUACUUCUAAAAACGUCUGAUGUAAAAGGCAUUUUAAUAUAAAACUAAAUUCUGAUGGUUAUGAGCACAGCCAACAAUAUUCACUUUUAAAUACAUCUCCUACUUACCACCAAGAGGAACAUCUUGAUGUUGGGUUUUAUCUUUUCUCCACUCAGAGACAACAUCUAGGAUGGCAUUGAAAUGAAAGUCCAUACGUUUAUCAAUAGUGGGAUCUGUUAUUCUUCCACCUUCCUGGAUCAAGUCACAUUUCUCCCCUAGUUUGUGCAUUUUAAUGCCAAGCUUAAGAAAAAGACAUUUUAUUGCUUUAUAAGUAUGGAAAAACUACAGUGCCUAGCAGCUCAAGGUUAUUUAAAGAAAGGUGAAUCCUUCAGAUUUAUAUGAUGUCAAUGAAAAAACAUCCAUGAUCUUAAAUAAUAAGUCAUAUUAACUCAGACUCUUGUCCUCUGGAAUACCAACAGCCCUUCCAUCUCUUAGUUGUCCACAAACUGCUUUCCCCCCACUCUUCCAUUCUUUUCUAUAUCGGCGAUUCUUUGAAACCACAUCUCCAACUUUCCUGUCAAGGCAUGGGGUAGCACAGAGAUGUGUCUGGUAUCAAACCUAAUGAACCACUUUCUUUUAUUUUUCCUUCACUUUAUUUUCUAAUCUCCACUGAAAUUAGUUCUUUUCAACAACUUUCUGAUGCCUGAUGGCCUAACAGUUCCCUGCAGUUCAGGCAUCGACAUGACGCAUCUUGCCAGUUACUGCCAGUUUCAUUAACAAGCAAAGAAAGAAAGAAAUGGUUUUGAAUUAAACCUAGUAUCUUUCUCUGCUUGUCCAACUCAUAGCAAAGAAUUCAUUAUAUUCCACACAGUCAGUCUGUAGAUUCUCUCUAGGGCCUUGUUACUUAAGUGCACUCCGGUGUUUUUCACAUAUCCUUGCAUAUCUCUAGGAUGUUGCUCCCCACUGCAGAUCUCAAGAUAGAGCUAUACUUUGCAUGAAAUAUCACAUCAAAUAACCCCACAUAAGGUGAGUACCCAACAUGUAUUCAAAAAUCAUUGCUCCUCACCUCAUACCUAAAGUGCGUUUUAAAAAAUAAUAAUAAACCCCAUCAUUUUUAUUCAUCAUGACACUAUAGAACACUAAACAGUUAAAACAGCGUGGGCUGGAUUUACAUGCCUCUCUGAAUAAACUCCAUAUUCAAGUUCCACUGGGGGAAAUUUUGCUUCCUGCCCCAAAAAAAUCAAGCUGUGUUCUGUUUGCAAAAGUAUCUGUUAAACAUAUUAAGCAUUACUUGUUCAGAAUCAAAUUAGAAAUGCAGAGGCCAAGCAAAGGCAAGUCUACAACUGAGCUGUGUAUUCCAAUAGCAUAGCAUUGGCCUACCACAGUAAAGCGUUUCUCAGCUCUUAAGUUUUGUCUGUACUAGAAUCAGCAGUCUGCCAGGUGCCUCUUAUAUUUUUAUCUCUAGAAAAGGCCAAAAAAAAAAAAGAGUUUCUUCUAGCUUUGAAGCUGAAGCCGCCUUGUUUCUCUUUACACAGUGUGCCUGAAACCGUUCUGCAGCCCUUCCCUGUCCCCAUCUGUCCCCAAAGAUAGGACGGCAGCACAGAGUUUACUCAAAAUGCAGAGCAGUGUUUUAAUCGUGCCAUGAAAAGAGACCCCCCCACCCUUACCCACCCACCCACACCCAGCUUCUAACAACAGUUUUUCCGUAAUGAUAAUGCACGACCACAGCAGAGAACCCACUUGCUCACACAUUAGUGCCAUUGGGUUGUUGACACAUCCAUUGACGAUUUGUGCACCUCUCCCAACAGUGACGCCUGUGAAGGUCUUAUCGUCCCACACUCGGCCACCAAUUCUGUCUUUAGCUUCUAGGACAGUGACCUACAACACAGUGCAGUUCAGUAAAUGGUGAGAUGUGGCCAACUCCAGAGCAAAGGGGAAAACACAACAAAAACAGAAGCAAACCAACGAUGCUAACAAUCUUAAUGCUUUAUUUUCAUUUCUUGAUAUAGGUUAUUUAUACAUGUAGGUUAUUUAUAUAUGUAAAUAUGUAAUAUUAUAGGUUAUUUAUACAUGUAAAUUGUUAUUUAAAGGUUACCCAUUGGGAUAUGCACACAUGUAUAACAGCUGAUACGUCAAGAAAAUUUAAAAAUAUUCUUAAAAACACUGAAGACAUUCUGGAAAUCUCAAAAUUAGAGUUCAAGGCAUGCUGCGGGCUUUGGAAGCCAAUGAUCUGCAUGCAACAUCCACCUAAGGAUGCCUAUAAUCCUUUUGGAGAAUUUUGUUUCAAGGGUAUUCCAAGAAUAGCUCAUCUUCAUGUUUACAUCAUUCAUACAUACUUCCUUCAGCAUCCAGACUCAGGAUGCUGGACUGGAUAGAUACUUUGUCUAACUAAAUAUAUUUAUUCUUAUUUGCUUUUAUUUUUAUCUAAAUUCUUUUCAGACAAACUCUCUCCAAAACAGCAGAGAGCGAUAGGAAAAAAGCACGUACGUGUCUUUAAAAAAUUGACAGGAUAUUGCAUACAUUAAAAAAAUUGUCCUGCUGGUUGAUAAUUCCAUAUUUUACUGCAGGAGAGCUUCCAAAAGGUCUUGACGGACAAUAAGGCUACACUACAAUUUGCUAUUCAGCAGAAAAAGAAAGAGAUAAUAGAGCACUAGGAGCAACGCAACGGGCCCAUUCACUUCCUUAAACAUCAGCCCUGCAAACAUUUCAUGUGUAAAGAACAUGACUAUACUCCGAUGUGUAAAGUUUUGUUAAUAUAUUGGGAUUGUAGUGGUAAUAAUAAAUGGGAGGGAAGGGAAAUACGUGUGAUUUGCCUGUUUAAUAAACAAGUAGAUACACUAAAGUGCAAAACAGAGAGAAAAUCUCUCAUUUAAACAGCAGUUGCCAACUACAGUUGCAUUAUUUGUACACAAAUAUCCCUGCCUCCCUUUAUCUUCCCUACUCAGGUCUGUGCACAAUAUGCACUCCUUGCUUUCUUACAAUUUAGAUGAAGAUAAAUUCUGUCUUUAACAGAAAAUUUACUCAAUAAAACCCCCCAUUUUGCCAAUUAAUUGGGAUGCUCAACGCUUAGGUGUUUCUAAGAACAGGGUUAUUUCUUCAUUUGGAGGAAGAACACUUCCAAAGCAGAGAAAAUCUGAUUUUUCAAGUAACGUACUCUAAAGUUUCUUACCUUAAUUCCAAAGUUGUGUAGUUGUCGUGCUGCUGCUAAUCCUGCUGCGCCGGCCCCAACAAUAAUGACAGAUUUCUAUCAAAUAAUGUUCCAAUAAAUAGAAGUAGUUAAGAGCCAAAAUAUAAACGAUCGCUGCAAGUUUAUUCCUCGCGCUAAAGUUGAAAUACCCUUAGAUUUCAGAUAUGCAGUUUUAAUGGCAGACUUCUCAAUUUCUUUUAACUGGAACGGUUCUCAGACAGAUAACACGCUUAGCUUGUAACAAUUCCAAUCACAAAUUGGGGCAAUCAAUAGAAGCUUUUUUAUAAAUGGAGAACACAGGCAAACAGACUCUACAGGCAGAAACCAACUUUUUCUAGGAGGUAUUCUAUUACAGAAUACAUCCAUUAUAUACAUUUUUGCAUUCUGCUAUGAAAAUUGCUAGUCAUAAAUGUAUACCCUUUAAUCGUGGCUCUUGCAAACCAGAAUAUAAUAGGAGUUUCCUCACCUAUGGAAGCAGCAGUGUAUUCCGGGAUUAAGGCACAAGAAGAACCCAAGCAUACUGCAUGGGUUCCCCUACAGUUCCUACCCAUCUGAAAAGUCUAUAGGAAGUUCAAAUCCACUGGGGUGGAUUCCACAGAUAUUGUGGGAAUACAAACCUGGCUGGCAAAACUCCCAUCUCUGCUGUUUCUGUGAGCACUAAAGGUAGAUGAGGACCGUAUGAAAUGUGUUUGCUUUUACAAGUAAUUCCAACACAGCUUAUUGGAGUUAGAGAUAACAAGCAAAAAAAAAAAGUCCAUGUCAUUUUAUAGUACUGAUAACACAGGAGUUGUUACAGCUACUUACGUUGUGGUAUUCUUUAGGAAGAAGAUACUGGUCAGUGCUGACUGAUAAAAUCCCUGUAUUUAUUAGCCCUUUCCUCGUCAUAAAAUACAGUAUCCUCUCCAUUUCCUGUACACAGCGAAUACGCACAAGCCCUCGAACAAUGAUAUGAUGGAUACAUUUUUGAGGGGUAAGAGCCUCCUGUAGAAGAGAAAAAAAAAAAAGCAAAAGCAGCAUUCAUAGUUCAAUAUUCGACACCUUCACGUAUUUGCUACAUAUUUGAAUUGUAAACCAGAUGAUAAAGGUUAAUCAUGAAUCACAGAGGUGUCUGAGAAUAUUUUAAAAGCAAUUUUUGUGGAAGUUUCUUGCUAGUCAACCUUACGGAGUAAGGUAAUAAUUUCUCUCUUCUGAGUUUCCUUUAAAUAUAAAGCUAAAUUAACUUGGAAUAGAAGCAUAAGUGUAAAGGAUACCCUUGCAAACUCCAUGGUAUGCUGCAUGAGCAGAAGAAUGGUACUGAAAUCUAUCCCUGCCUGCAGGUGGCAAUGCUCAUGAUUGCAUUCCAUUAAGAUUCAUUUUAAAACGGCAUUCCAAAUAAAAGCUAGAUGAAUAUCCAGAAUCUUCACAAUUAUAAUGCAGAUAGCGGGGCCUGAAAGCUUCAGGAUGUGAAAUUCUAAUUGACUCCUGAUUUCAUUUAUAUUAAAUAUGAAUAGAAGCAAUUUCAUUGAAGGGUAGCAUUGUAGAGUAAACGAAAGGAGAAGGAUAAUUUCCUUGUCCAACAUUCAUGUGAAAAAAAGAUACUGUCAAGCGCACACAAAUAACUGCUUUGAAAUGUUCAAACAUCACUGUUGACAGUAAAUAGCUGAGCAGAUUCAGUGAAGGUUUAAUGCUUUUAUAACUUCAGCAUUUUACGAUAAAAGAAGGUCCUGGGUGUUACAACCAAAGGUGGGGUGAAAAUCCAAUCUUGGAAAGAAUUUUCAGAAGGAUACAAACAAUGUUUUUCUGAUUCAUAAGGCUGUAUCUAAGAAGAGAGCCCAAUUCCUUUGCCUCCUCCCACUUAAAACCUCCUUAUCCCACACCAGCAGUUGUUGUUCGCAAACAAACAAAUUAACUUUUAGCAUCUCCUACCUUGCAGUUUGUAUACCACAGAGCCAAAAUCAGGUUUCUCAAGGCCAGAUACAUGGUAGGAUCUCGUGAAUAUUCUGGGAACUCAUAGAGCUCAUCCAGUUCCAUGACAUCUGGCCUUACACAAAGUGCUUUCCCGCAUUCGUUGGGCUGGUAAAAAGGCUGGAAAUACUUGUUCAUUCCUGCAACUGAAUAAAGGCGCACACACACACACACACACACAAAAGAAAUAGUCAUGUUCUGUUUUAUCUACUUAUCCUUUUCCCUUUAAGACAAUUCAUUGACUUGGCACAGAUAAAGAAGCCAGGAAGUAUCCCAACCUCUAGCCACUUUUAGAAUGAUUUCAUUUAAUACGGCUUUCCCUUUUCCUACUCUCCAGGCUGUGCAGUACUAAUUAUUGUUGUACCACCCAAUGUGCCUUGGGCCUAUCAGAGUUUGAGUUUUGUCAGAGAAGCAGUACAUGCCCUCAGAUGCCAUGACUGGUCCAACGUGGAACAGGAUCUAAAUUCAAGUCUAAAGCCUAGCACUGCUGUACGGACUCACGGAGUCCUCUGAACUGCUUUCAUCUUCAGCUCCCAGCUCCACCCAGAGCGAGCAGUGACUAGAAGUAAUCAUCUUCCACAUGCAGCAUUAGCAGCUCUGUAUAAUGAAGUUGGUUUCCUGUUUAUAAAGCAGCUAAAUAUCUGCUGAAUAGACGAGCGGAUUUAUUUUCAGCACCUAAGGAGAACAAAGCCUGCUAGGAUAACACAAAAGCAGAACUUCCCUUGAAGUACUCUCUCUGAGCCAGUACUGAGGUAUAUCAAUAAGGAUGAGUGUGGGAAUCCUGAAUUACCUUCUUUCAAGCUGGACCUGUUUUGCAGGUCUCACUCCCAGACUGUCAGUCUCAGAGCUACUGUUAGCAAAAAACUAACCUAAGCGAAAUCAAUGUGCCUUAAGAAAUCUAGUCCUUUUCUGCAAAGCCUCAGAGAUCCUCAAUAUCAAAACCAGCAGAAUUAAAUGUUAUUACAAACCUUAAUCUCCUUAAGAAACCAAAUGAUCUUUAAGUACCGGCAUAUUAACUUCCCAUUUCUAUUACCAAAUGGCAGGUAGUAAUCGAAAAGCCUAUGAGGUCUGUGCUUACACCUUAAAGAAAUGCAUUACCUUUAUCUUACAAAUGAGUAAAUUACGACAAAGAAGUAGAGAGGCGGUCACACAGAGGGUGUGUAUUAGUGCUGAGAACAGAACUGGUGUUCCUGAGUCAGGAGCGUUGUGUGCCUUAUAAACUCAGUUAUAAGACAACGGUCAUCACACCUAUUUAAGGAACAGAGCCCUGCAGAUGGCCCUUACCAGUCAAAUUAGGCACGCUCUUUAAGUGCUCUAACUUCACAAGGUUGGAUUCACCAGGUAAACGAUUAGUGCUGGUACAGGAUGGACUCAUGCCCACGCAGUCUGGAUAAUAUGCAGCUAGAAAGGGAGCUGCCACACUGUCUUUCAGCAAAGGAGGGAGUAUGAGCAUGGAGUACCACCAAUGGUCUGAAACUUCAGCCACUCUCUGGCCAAGCGGAGAAGUGAAGGAAAGAGGGGAGAAGAGAACACGUCAGUACUUUGAAAACGUAAAAUGAACCAAUUCCCCCCUCCCUCCAAAACUGACACCAAAAAGCGCUAGAAGUAUCAAUCUCAGAUUUGCAAGUCAUAAAGACAUUUUCUCUCCCUCUUUCCCUGUCCUCAGCCUGACACAGAAAACUAGCAGUAUUAACCUCAGAAACUGAGCUGAAAUUUCAUAAAGUCCACACCCACGUGGAAAACAAACAGAUGAGACAUGCCACAACAAUGCACCUAUGCCUUACCAUGCCCUUGAUAAAACAUUUACAGUUGCUCGUGCAACCAGAAAUCUGAACUUAGAAGUCUAAACUAACUGAUUGAUUUAAUAUAAAUUCUGCUAUCCCCAUCAAAGACCUUCUAAAACCCUAAGAAAUGCUACUGAUUCAGCCUUGUUUUACAAAGUAAACAUGCAUUAAGGGAACAAAACGACCAAGCUUCCACAACAGUCAACAGUAAUUAUGAACAUGUCUCCUGGGACAGAGGUACCUCACGUACACUUGCCAACACUGGCUUAUCAUAUCAUGCUCAAUCUGAAAUGUGAGGUUACAUGAUCAUAAAACGAUUGCAACACCAGCAUGCAUCAAGUAUUAUUCGUAUUAGGAGGCAGAGGAGAGAGAAAACAUGUUUUGGCAUUCCUGUGCACUUUUCAAGAAGAGGAGACAAGCUUGACUAAAGAUGGAAACCACCUGGAGGAGAGGGAAAUUUGGGGAUGGGGAUUUUUAUUUGAAAACUGGCAGCUGAAUGAUGUUUUGCCUGAUCAAAAAUGAGAAUUAGGAAUGAACCUUGUAUCACUGGCCACAACUCAAAGACACCAAGAACCACCUGAAAUCUAACUGGUAUAGUCAGGGAAGAGAGGAAAAAAGAUGAGAAAGUAGAAGGUCCUAGGCUCUGUUGCAAAUAGCGUCCUUUGCAAAAUGCAUAAAUACUGCUACAAUUGGCCAAAAGACCAUGAAAAGGAAAGACGUAUGCCAUGCUUUGGGGUUGUUUUUGUAUUCUGAACAAAUGAGGAGGAACAGCUGCUACUCACCAGGUCCUCAGGCAUGGAACAUUGGUCUGAGCCCUCCGUCUGAAAGAAAAGUCAAUUGAAUCAGAGCUAUUCUUAUUUUAUUAUAAUAAUUAUUCUAUUAUUAAUUAUAACAUUUAUAAUAAUUAUUAUUAUAUUAUAAAAAUUAAAUAUAAUACAAAGUAAUUCGGCUAUGGCAUACUUCCUUAAACCGAAUAAUGCAUUCACGUUAGCUUUCUGUAGCACAAAUGUUUGUUAGUAGAAGUAAAUUGAAUUAAAUAGUCUCUAUUGACAAGACACUGAAAUAUGUGUCUUAUUCUGCAAAAUGGAGUGGAACACUGAAACAAAUCAGAAGGGAAAAAAAAAUCUGGGAAGAUUCUACAUUUUUCAGAGAGACUCUUUCAGUCUAGACUACAAAACCAAAAUUCCUUAAUUUAUUUCAACAGUAUCACAAAGUACUGAGAUGAAAUGUUAUGCUUUUUACUAAAAAGAUUCUGUGGCAUUAUAAGGACUCAUUUUCAAGUGUUAACUUCAUGCCAAAGCUGAAAAUUUCCCAGGAUGAAACUUGCUAGAAGUUACCAAAAGCUCACUGAACUUCUUAAACAUUUUCCUCAGUAACGAAUAUGGCCUGACAAACUAAAACAAACAUUGUGGUGCAUGUCUAUUUCCUAUAUUCUGAUAAUCUUUUCAUAGCUUCAGAAUGAGUGAUUUUAUAAUUGACUACAGACAGAAAGUAUUUCAAAUUCUUCUUUCUUGAUAUUUUCACUCAGGAUACAGAAAAGGCCAAAACAGCUUGUAGGCCUUCAACCGUGCAACUCUGUAGGCCAUCAGGCAAAUGCUUUUAAAUUAGAAACGUUAAACAGCAAAGUAAGAAGUAAAUAACGUCUGCAAACAAGAAAAAUCUACUUGUUACUAGUUUCCAUAUGAGCAAAAGUCUUCUGAGUUACCUUGGUGGAAUUGUUUAGUUUCAUACCACAUCUGUACGUUUUUGCUAUUUGCGGUGUCAGCUGGAUUUCCUUUGUCAGCUGACGCCAUUUACCACACUCUGGCUUUGUACACUGCACCUACAAGUCAAAAAACAAACAUGUUUUUACUUGUUACCGACUGAUUAUAGAUAAGGUUAAUGAAGCCUAGAUAACCAACUGAAGAAGGGAGAUGUGAGGAAAUUCUUAAAUGCAGUUGUUAAAUUCAUUCUCGUACAAUGCUCAGGUGUAAGACACUUUGUAUACCUAAAUCUUGCACUGAUUUCCUAAAAGACUGAAUUUCACCACAGAACCUAAUCCAAAAAUUGAUUCAACACCCAAUUACUAUUUCAGUGGCUUUUGCAAGCAUUGCUGCAAAAAGCAUAUCAUACACUAUUUCAGUGGACCUCAUUGUGGCCUUCCAGUAUUUGAAAGGAGCAUAUAAACAGGAAGGAGAACAACUGUUGACGAGGGUGGGUAGUGAUAAGACAAGGGGGGGAUGGUUUUAAACUAAGACAGGGAAGGUUUAGGUUAGAUAUUAGGAGGAAGCUUUUCUCUCAGAGGGUGGUGACGCACUGGAACAGGUUGCUCAAGGAGGCUGUGGAUGCCCCAUCCCUGGAGGCAUUCAAGGCCAGGCUGGAUGUGGCUCUGGGCAGCCUGGUCUGGUGGUUGGCAACCCUGCAUAUAGCAGGGGGGGGGUGAAACUGGAUGAUCAUUGUGGUCCUUUUCAACCCAGGCCAUUCUAUGUUUCUAUGAUAUAUUUUUAAGAACUUUAUCCCAUUUCCACCUCUCUUCUACUCCCUUCAGCAUGGAAAUACAAAAAUCAAUGUUUUGCAAGUCAUUCACAGUCAAAGCUCGCUAUAGCUGGUAUGCCCCAUUUUCCCCACUAAGUCUUACUCUAACUGAAUAUUAUACAACUUAGCUGCCACUUCAACAAAAAGCAAUAAAAAGUUGUUUGCUGUGAGGUUUGGAGAAGGUGUCCAAUAAUGGAGAAGCUGAUCAGAGCUAUUACCUUGAGCUUUUCACUAGCCCCUGUAAAAACUCAGCUGACCUGCUGCCUGAUCAUACAAUAUCAGAAAGUUUUUCAGUUCAAGAAAGGAGAAGAUGGAAAAGAUAGGGCAGGGGAGUUUAUUAAACAUCCGUUCAAAACUGUAUACCUUCACAAAUUAACAUCACAUUGAAAUACACCAUAUUCCACAAAUCACUGUCCACCUUACCCAAUAAGGGAGCUGUUGAUCAGCCAUGAAGGCUUUUGGGCUGGGUUCGCUUUUCCCAUUACUUGUCCAAAUCCUUUUCCAGGCAGUGUACUUCUCAUAACCAUCUUUAUGGCUAAAAAGAAAGAGAGAAAAAGGCAAGCUGUUACAAAGCUGAAUGAUCUAGUUCAUUUUAAGCAACAGAGGUUAUUCUAAAAUUAAAUGUUUUAUAUAAGGACAGAGAAAUAAGGCUGAAGAGAGUUCUAUAUUUUUCCUAUUAAAAACAAAGCAAGUCGUGGUUCUUAUGAUAGCAAUAAAGAGCAUCCUGGCCACUAUGCCUUCUUGGUAAUGGGCAUACUUCGCAGAAGUAAAAAUGGGGACUGAGUUACAGGUGCUGCUGAGUUCAUAAGCACUCAAAAAUCUUAGCAGAGAUGGACUCAGUUCCCACAAAAGCAGAAAGGAGCCUGGAGCCCAACGUACUCCCUGACCCUGACCUGAGUCUUCACAGUCACUGAAAUGAAAGCAAAACCUGCUUGCUGGCUUUGGUCUUAGUCUGAGCCAAGUUCUCUCUCCUGAGCUCACAUUAUAAAGUGAAUCUACUAUGUAAGGGAAAAUGGAUGUACUUGAAACUACUUAAAUCUACUCACAUCUUUUAAAAUUCUCUGCUCUUGUUUUAAAAGAGAGGAAAGCUUUAGAACAACCGUACCUGUAGAACAGCCUAGGUAAAGUAACUGGUUUUGCUCACACUACACAUUUAUGCUGAUGAUUCGUCCAUACAACACCUGCAGUUUUAAUACCAAUAUUAAGCAUCACUUCAAUAACAGCAAGCACAGAGGAUGAACCCUUGUAUUAUACAUAAGUAUACAAGGUCUCUACACUUGUAUCAUCUGCCCAAUUUUAAUGAGCACUGAAAAGGCACAGUCUUAGUUAGCAAAUCUACCUUCGGUAGUAGUGGUCAAAACAUUCAUUGCAGAAGUGCUCCCCACAGGAAAGAUGAUACCAUCUAGACGUAUACCCAUUUUUAGCACAUCUGAAAUGCAGAAACAUAGAAAUAGCUUUAUGGUACAUUUCUAAAACCCUAUUAACAAUUGCACAUCUAGAAUGUGAACCACAUAUUCGGGACAAGCCAGGACGUUAUGUUAUGUUCACAAAGGCUGUCUUGCACAAGGCACUGCAGUUAUUCAAAUAACAAUAGCGAGAAGAUCAUUUCAGUUGUCUCAGACACUUCCAGUUCCCAAACGAAGCAACACCAGAUGCAAAGGAGGCAUAGUGUACACAAUAAGCAGUUUUGUAGUUGGCCUGGCUUCCAGCAACCUCUCUCCAACAAUGGUCCACUGAGCCCUGCUUUAGUACCCUUUAUGUAGAUACUUCCUGAACAUAAAAUAGAGUUGUUUUUAUAAUACCUAUUGUGACACACAAAGCAUCUUCCAAAUGUGUAAGGCAAAGUCACUCUCUGUAGGAACUUAUCAUUUCUUUACCUUUUUUCAUUCUGUUCUGGUAUUGGUGCAGGAGUGGGAGGGGGUCAUCUUGAUGAGUAUUUUUCUUGUGUGAGUGAUCAAUCGAUUCACAAAUCAUUACAAGAUCUAGUCCCCAGAACAGCUGACACAACUAUAUAUGAAACUCUGAACACAAAACAGAUGUUGCCUUUUUUUUUUUUUCACAUGACCAAGUUGGCUGCAAUUUCAUCCCAAAGAGGGAAAACCUUAAGGAAACCCUGACACGUUCUGGACUUCUAUUCUUUAUUACUCUUGGAAAUAAAUGUCCAUUAGCAAAGGUUGUAUUCAUUGUGCAGAGCAAUCACUCUUCGCUUAGAAAACUCUCCUUAAACUCAAUGAAAUGACUCAAGAUAAAUGUACAAGGUAAAAAGCAGUGACCUAAGGAACUAAUUGAAAUAGACAGCGGUGAAAUGAUCUCAUCUCAAAUAAAUAAUGUUGGAAGUAUGUAUUCUAGUGGAAAUAUAUAUAUAUUCAUCUGUACAUAAAAUAUAAAAUCUAUCGCAACAUUAAAACAAUAUUUUAAAAAAUGAUUAUGCAACAUCUGCUGUUUCAAAAAAAUAUAUAACAUCACUAAAACUGAUUUCUCAGGUACUCCUUUCCCCUAAAAGUCUCUUACACAACUGCUGAAACUCUUGGCUUUCCUGUGACAACAUUUAACUCCAGUUAACAAAGAAGAAUUCUCAUAGAUACUGAACACACAGUGCUGACGAGAUGCAUCUCCAGGGUCAGAAUGCAAAAGGGCUGGCAUUAGCACACUGAAAGUCACAAACAACUUGAGAACGAGGAGUUCAAAGAAGUACGAUUGUCUCCCAAGUCCUAAAACAUCAAGCUCAGAGUCUCACCUCGGACUGCAAAACAUUCCAGCAACAACAAGAAUUUCUGCAGUAAAUGGCGGUUUCGUUUUCCAUCUUGAAAGCAAGUUUAGCUUCCUCAGGUUACACUCAUAUGCUCUUGGUUUCACAGAAACAAGGCGUGUUCCAGAGGACACCAUUAAUAACAUCAAUAGGCUUAUGCUAAGCUGAAGAUACACUCUAUCAGAAUUAGCAACUUGCGCAGUAGAAACGUAACCACAAAACAAACAACCCGUGGCACUUUCCUGGCGUCUUAAGAUUGGUAUUAGCGCCCUUCAGCUCUCCCUCUACACUUGGAAAUGAAGGGAUCUUUCAAAAUGUGGUUAGAAUUUCAAACUUCGGUAGCGAGCUUAGAAGAGUCCAUGAAAUGAAAAUAAACAAACCUUUCGGCUGCGCUGGCAAAGCAAACGGGACACGUUGCAGUGCAUCCAGCUUUCUCACAUUUCCUGUAUUUCUUUUCUGAUGCAUCAUCAUCAUCAUCUGUUGCCUCGGCUGCUUUCUUCUUCACCUAAUAAAGAAUAGCUGAAAUCUGACCAGAAAUGACACAGAUGUGUUUUCUAACGGAGGCAUUCAGACAGUUCUGCAGCUUGUGGCAUGGCAUUGAAUGGCAUAGAGGACACUAACUAAACUUUCUGAAUCUGCUGUGAAAUAGCUGCAGUGUGACACAAACAGCUGUCAAAUUAGGUCAUUUGUUCUAUCUCUCUCCCCCCCAGAAAAAAAAAAAAAAACAACAGGACAGUAAGGAUGAAAAUAUCAUUUAAAGCUAAAAAUGACUUGCCUUAGCUUAACUGAUACCAUUGAAGAAAUUAUAAGCAAAGCCUCCGGUUUGAAUAAUAUUUUAAGCUCCAUCACAUGCUAAUGAGUCAAGCCUCAGGCGUUCGUUUUAUGUCGCCUUCAGAAAAUCCCUCCUUCACAUACUUACUGAUAUUAAUUAGCCGUGAUCUUAUCUCCACCUCAAACAAAACACCAAGGCUGGUUUGGAGGAAUUUUUUUGGACUCCAGAUACAAAACUGUAUACCAAAUGCCUCUUACGGGCUUCAGAGAUGCUGCGUAUCACAUUGAUUUGGGUCUUGGACAGCCUGCUUUGGCUGCACAGAAAGCUCUGCUUGUAUUUUUAACCCAUCAAGAAUUUUCAAGUUGUACUGAGCAUUUGUCUCUUCCGAAUACUGUCGAUAAAGAAGCUUUGCCUACUUCUUCACUGAGUUAACUGAUUCUCCCUCUUCCUGCAAAAAUGUUCUGUCUCUGAAGUAUCCACACUGAAACCCUCUUUCUUUGUCAAUGUUAACAGGAAAAAAAUACAGGAGUGUCAAAUUGUUAUAAAUACCUGUCUUCCAGAACUCCUCAGAGGAAGGCUGUCUGGAGACUGCUCUGAAGAACAUGCCUUUUUCUUUGUUCGUACCCUUCCAGCUGACAUUGUAUUAUUAGGCCUGCAGAGAAAAAAGUAGGGAGCAGUUAAGAAAAAAUAAUAAUGGGUUGAAUUUGCAGAGCUAUCCAAUGAGCUGGACACUACAGCCACGCUUACACUGCUUCUUCUGUCACGGUAACCUGGAUAAGGAUCUGUUCUGUAUUAAUUCAGGAUGGAAACGAAGGUGGCGUUAUGGGAAAAUGAACAACAGUCUGAUUUUAAACUAAAUUCGGAGUUAAGAUUAGAUCCCUGAGUACAUCUCUACAGACUGUUCCAGAUCAGCAUACCCUGGAUUUCAGUAAUCUGAUUUGCGUUACAUGAUGAUCUGGACUGGAAUUAGGGUCAGCAAAGUGAAUAGACUUCAGCCCUCACAGUGCUCUUCUCAUUGACAACUGAUUUAUUGGUAGCAAGAGAUCUGCAUGGUACAGCACUUUUCCAGACAACAAAGAGACAUUCAGAUGUUCACCACCAGUGAAACACCAGUUCCAAAACUGGGAUUGUUUAGAUUGGAGGAGACUCUGGGGAGACGUUAUCACUCUACAGCUACCUGAAAGGAGGUUGUGGCGAAGUGGGAGUCAGCCUCUUCUACAUAACUAGUGAUAGGAUUAGUGGUAGUGGCCUCAAGUUGUGCCAGGGGAGAUUCAGGUUGGAUGGGAGAAAGAGUGGUUAGGUGCUGGAAUGGGCUGCCCAGCGAGGUGGCUGAGUCACUGACACUGGAUGCAUUCAAGAAGCAUUUAGAUGUUGCACUGAGGGACAUGGUUAGUGGGGAACUGUUGGUGGUAGGUGGACGGUUGGACUGGAUGAUUUUGGAGGUCUAUUUCCAACCUUGGUAAUUCUAUGACUCACAUACCCUCCUGUGAAUGUUCAUCAGAAUUUAGGGUCUAAACAACAGCAGCUGCAUUGUGAUGUUAGGUAACUGGGAGAUCACAAACACAGUUACUAACCUGCUUCAGGAGGGAAGUUCUACACUAGAGAAUAGAUCAUGGAAUCAUAGAACGGCCUGGGUUGAAAAAGACCACAACGAUCAUCGAGUUUCAACCCCCCUGCUAUGUGCAGGGUCGCCAACCACCAGACCGGGCUGCCCAGAGCCACAUCCAACCUGGCCUUGAAUGCCUCCAGGGAUGGGGCAUCCACAGCCUCCUUGGACAAAUCCAUACUUGUAUUUAACUGCAUCCCUGGGAACAGGAAGAAGGCCGCAGUUCAUCAUGUAAUCUGGAAAGCACAGAGUGUGAGAAAGUAUACUGCAGAAAUGGAAAAGCAUAUGUAAAAUGUUAUAAUCAAAGGCGUUCUUUUUGCAGGGAUUAAAAUACAAACAAAAAUAGCCUGCAGGAAGAAUUAAAUCUAAAUGCACUCCACCACACGUAAAGGAAACAGACUACAGCGCUGAAUCAUGAAUGUUAUCUUGGUGUAAUAGGGAUCAGAUUGCAAUUUUUUAUUACUAUUUUUAUGUAUGUAUUUGUACUAUAUCUGGGAUUUCUUUCUGUUGUUCCAGGCUGCACCCUCUUCAUUCCAACUGACAGCACGGAGUGCUAACAAUAGUUUCGUUCACAAAUUCUCCUAAGUAAAGGUAGCAGCAGGAGAGAACGGGAGUUGUUCCAAAGUUUCAAAUGAAGGUGAUGUAAGUCAAGCAAGCGGUUGCUUUGCUCUGCUUUCCAGGUAGGAGGAACUGAUUGGAGUGCAGGAGGGAAAAAAUAAAAUAAAAUCACAGGAUAUCCACAUGUGUGAGAAAGUAACUGAGCUCAGGAAACCAACUCAAAAAUUAACUUUCUUUUUUAUACGCCAACAUGAUAUGUAACUAGAGAGAGAAAAAAAAUAGAUCUUAUAUUAUGCCAAACAAACAACAGCAGUCCACUGUAGCUUGCCACUGGACGGAGGCAGCUGUGGUUGGAGAAGAGAAAGGAAAGCCAACAAGUGCCACUUAGAUGACAUUUCCCAAAAGUACCACAUCGAGCCCCAGGAACUGAAAGUCAGGUUUUGCUGCCAGGGCUGUUCAGUAGCGCAACAGUCACAGGCUCGCAUAAUGGUUUGGGUUGGAAGGGCCCUCAAAAGCCAUCCAGUUCCAACUCCCUGACAUGGGUAAGGUUGUCACCCACACCAGCUCAGGCUGCCCAGGGCCCCAUCCAACCUGGCCUUGAAUGCCUCCAGGGUUGGGGCACCCACAGCUUCUCUGGGCAGCUGUGCCAGCACCUCACCACGCUCACAGUGAAAAAUCUCCCCCUGACAUCUAGUCUAAGUCUCCCCUCUUUUAGUUUGAAACCAUUCCCCCUUGCCCUGUCAACAGUAUCUCUUGGCAUCACCUCUCUAUCGCCUCAGCUUCCCACGCCAGCCGAUCAUCCCUCACAGCCAGACAGGGGCUGCAGGUGGUCAGAGCCCAUCCCAAAGGCAGAGGGCAGUAUGUAACCCCGUGUACGUGGGGCUGGGGGGGAAAAUCAAGAAAGCAGUCACCAUCCACUGAGAAGUUUGGUGGAAACGUUGUCGGUUCAGAGGGCCUCCCGCCUUGAUAGGCAGAGGGCAGAUGUAGGGAAGCACGGAUAUGUUUUUGUCCUGGAUUUUGCUGGAAGGGGACGAGGCAGAAGGUGGAGAGGAGAUGGGUUUGCAGAUAUAACUGCAUUAAGGCCAUUGUUUCCAGCUGUACCUUCGCUUCCCCUUCCCAAAGCCCUACGCCUCCCACACCCACAGCUUUUUCAAGAGCAGCGGACACUGCCUACUUCGCUGUGCUUUAUGCGACUCUGCGCGCCCUAUCAUCGCAGUGCAGGAGGAAAGAGACCCUUUAAAGGGGAAAGAGGCACACAUCCCUACGCUGUGCCACCUUCCGUACCGCUCCAUCCCCGUAACGCCCGGCCCGUGCGGGGAGAGUUGACAGCAAGUUUGUAUCGGGGGGAAAAAAAAAAAUUAACGAGAAAGAAAGAGAAGAAAAUAGAAGGCACGCACACACACACAGCCCACAGCCCACACCCAGGAAGCGAGAGCAGCCGGUGAGCCGCGGCCGGGCGCAGCCCCAGCGCGCUGACAGCAGCCGCCCCGGAGCCCCCGCGGCCCUGACAGCGUCCCCGGGGCGCUCACCUCGGGGCCGGCUCGCCCGGGGGCCGGAGAGCGCAUCCACGCGUGCCCGCGCCGCCUCCUGCUAGAGCUGCAGCGGGGAGAGAAGGGG